UACGUAGGGCGCGAGCGUUGUCCGGAAUUAUUGGGCGUAAAGAGCUCGUAGGCGGCUUGUCGCGUCGAAUGUGAAAACUCGGGGCUCAACUCCGAGCUUGCAUUCGAUACGGGCAGGCUAGAGUUCGGUAGGGGAGACUGGAAUUCCUGGUGUAGCGGUGAAAUGCGCAGAUAUCAGGAGGAACACCGGUGGCGAAGGCGGGUCUCUGGGCCGAUACUGACGCUGAGGAGCGAAAGCGUGGGGAGCGAACAGG
rnacentral:rRNA from 1 species